GGACUGAAGGGAGGCGGGGUGCUCGUCUGAGAGGCAGGCACAGUGGGAACCAGCCAUUGCACAAGCAGCCUCCACCCUUCAGAGGAAUGAAUUCCUCUCCAUUUCGGCCAACACCACGGAAUACACUGGAAAGAAGAUGAGAGGUUGGUGUUCUGAUGUUACUAGGCCCUCGUUUUCUCUGGCUCACUGGCUUUUAGAGCUGGAAGGGCCCUGUGCAUGAUGUAUUCUCUAAACCCGUCCUAGAGCAAGCAAGAAGGUGGGUUGGUCAUGCUGUCCUCUGGGGCAGGCCGUCCCAGUUUACACUCCCACAACAGAGUAUGGGAAUCUCUGCGUAUGCUGGGUUUGUCCCACAAAGGAAAUAGAUGAGGGAGCACAGACAGUGAAGGCCAACCAAAUAGUCAACCCCGCCUCUCACUUCCAAG
ensembl:lncRNA